GCGCCUGUAGCUCAGUCGGUCAGAGCGCCAAGCUUAUACCUUGGUGGUCGUAGGUUCGAGUCCUACCAGGCGCA
rnacentral:tRNA from 1 species